AUGGUAUAUCAUUCUUCCAAUACCAUGAACCAUCAUGACAAAAAUUCUCCUGAACCAAAGGAUCACAAUGAGAGUGCUCUUGAUGAGUUCUCCAUUCUAUAUUAUGACUCUGCCAGUUCUACCUUUCGCCAUGGGUUAUCCGGAAGAAAUAAGUUGAGCUUGCUCGACCUACUAACUCAUGCAUCCACAACUCAGAAAGUUAUAUGUUCCUUUGAGUUGUCCCUCUUCACCUAUAUUCCGAUCAUCGUCUAUCAAUUGAUAGUCGGAGUAUUUGUGCAUCAGUGUUCGUCGAUGCCUAUUAUUCUUGUGGUCCGUUAA
rnacentral:rRNA from 1 species